ACUAAUUCGAUGCAACGCGAAGAACCUUACCAUCCCUUGACAUCCAGUGAAUUUUCCAGAGAUGGAGAAGUGCCUUCGGGAACACUGAGACAGGUGCUGCAUGGCUGUCGUCAGCUCGUGUUGUGAGAUGUUGGGUUAAGUCCCGCAACGAGCGCAACCCUUAUCCUUAGUUGCCAGCACGUAAUGGGUGGGAACUCUGGGGAGACUGCCGGUGAUAAACCGGAGGAAGGUGGGGACGACGUCAAGUCAUCAUGGCCCUUACGGGAUGGGCUACACACGUGCUACAAUGGCGCGUACAAAGGGAAGCAAGCUAGCGAUAGUGAGCGGAUCUCAAAAAGCGCGUCGUAGUCCGGACCGGAGUCUGCAACUCGACUCCGUGAAGUCGGAAUCGCUAGUAAUCGCGGAUCAGAAUGCCGCGGUGAAUACGUUCCCGGGCCUU
rnacentral:rRNA from 1 species